UAAUGGCCCACCAAGGCGACGACGGGUAGCCGGCCUGAGAGGGCGAUCGGCCACACUGGGACUGAGACACGGCCCAGACUCCUACGGGAGGCAGCAGUGGGGAAUAUUGCGCAAUGGGCGAAAGCCUGACGCAGCGACGCCGCGUGAGGGAUGAAGGCCUUCGGGUUGUAAACCUCUUUCAGCAGGGAAGAAGCGAAAGCGACGGUACCUGCAGAAGAAGCACCGGCUAACUACGUGCCAGCAGCCGCGGUAAUACGUAGGGUGCAAGCGUUGUCCGGAAUUAUUGGGCGUAAAGAGCUCGUAGGCGGUCUGUCGCGUCGGAUGUGAAAAUCCAGGGCUUAACCCUGGACCUGCAUUCGAUACGGGCAGACUAGAGUUCGGUGGGGGAGACUGGAAUUCCUGGUGUAGCGGUGAAAUGCGCAGAUAUCAGGAGGAACACCGGUGGCGAAGGCGGGUCUCUGGGCCGAUACUGACGCUGAGGAGCGAAAGCGUGGGGAGCGAACAGGAUUAGAUACCCUGGUAGUCCACGCCGUAAACGUUGGGCGCUAGGUGUGGGGAACCUUCCACGUUCUCCGUGCCGCAGCUAACGCAUUAAGCG
rnacentral:rRNA from 1 species